GCCGGGCGUGGUGGCGCGCGCCUGUAGUCUCAGCUACUCGGGAGGCUGAGGUGGGAGGAUCGCUUGAGUCCAGGAGUUCUGGGCUGCAGUGCGCUAUGCCGAUCGGGUGUCCGCACUAAGUUCGGCAUCAAUAUGGUGACCUCCCGGGAGCGGGGGACCACCAGGUUGCCUAAGGAGGGGUGAACCGGCCCAGGUCGGAAACGGAGCAGGUCAAAACUCCCGUGCUGAUCAGUAGUGGGAUCGCGCCUGUGAAUAGCCACUGUACUCCAGCCUGGGCAAUAUAGUGAGACCCCGUCUCU
rnacentral:SRP_RNA from 1 species